UACGUAGGGGGCUAGCGUUGUCCGGAAUCAUUGGGCGUAAAGCGCGCGUAGGCGGCCCCGGUAAGUCCGCUGUGAAAGUCAAAGGCUCAACCUUUGAAUGUCAGCGGAUACUGCCGGGCUAGAGUCCGGAAGAGGCGAGUGGAAUUCCUGGUGUAGCGGUGGAAUGCGCAGAUAUCAGGAGGAACACCAACGGCGAAGGCAGCUCGCUGGGACGGUACUGACGCUGAGGCGCGAAAGCGUGGGGAGCGAACAGG
rnacentral:rRNA from 1 species